UAAGGAAUAUUGGUCAAUGGAGGGAACUCUGAACCAGCCAUUCCGCGUGGAGGAAGAAGGCCCUAUGGGUUGUAAACUUCUUUUAGAUGGGAAUAAAAUGACUAUUGCGAUAGUUACUGAAGGUACCAUCAGAAUAAGCACCGGCUAACUCCGUGCCAGCAGCCGCGGUAAUACGGAGGGUGCGAGCGUUAUCCGGAUUUACUGGGUUUAAAGGGUGCGUAGGCGGGUUGAUAAGUCUGUGGUGAAAGGUUGUAGCUUAACUAUAAAAUUGCCAUGGAUACUGUUAAUCUUGAAUUACAAUGAGGAUGGCGGAAUGUGACAUGUAGCGGUGAAAUGCAUAGAUAUGUCAUAGAACACCAAUUGCGAAGGCAGCUAUCUGGUUGAGGAUUGACGCUGAGGC
rnacentral:rRNA from 1 species